rnacentral:rRNA from 1 species
CCUACGGGAGGCAGCAGUGGGGAAUAUUGCACAAUGGGCGGAAGCCUGAUGCAGCGACGCCGCGUGAGGGAUGAAGGCCUUCGGGUUGUAAACCUCUUUCAGCAGGGACGAAGCGUGAGUGACGGUACCUGCAGAAGAAGCACCGGCUAACUACGUGCCAGCAGCCGCGGUAAUACGUAGGGUGCGAGCGUUGUCCGGAAUUACUGGGCGUAAAGAGUUCGUAGGCGGUUUGUCGCGUCGUUUGUGAAAACCCGGGGCUCAACUUCGGGCUUGCAGGCGAUACGGGCAGACUUGAGUGUUUCAGGGGAGACUGGAAUUCCUGGUGUAGCGGUGAAAUGCGCAGAUAUCAGGAGGAACACCGGUGGCGAAGGCGGGUCUCUGGGAAACAACUGACGCUGAGGAACGAAAGCGUGGGUAGCAAACAGGAUUAGAUACCCUGGUAGUCCACGCCGUAAACGGUGGGCGCUAGGUGUGGGUUCCUUCCACGGGAUCUGUGCCGUAGCUAACGCAUUAAGCGCCCCGCCUGGGGAGUCGGCCGCAAGGCUAAAACNCAAAGAUGACGNNGAGAGNGCGAGACGACGACGAGGAGAG